CUACUUGAUUGCUUCAUGCUGAUUUUUGGGUAUGUCUGAAAGUCAGCAUGACCAGGGCAAAAAGGGCAACUUUCCCUGCAACGAAAGCUAAGAAUUUAUUAUAAAUUAUUUUCAUUUAUUAGGAAACAAGAAGUAAUAUUUUCUAUAAAGAUAAAAUGAGAAAGCUGCCAAGAUUUUUAACUAUCCCUUCUCCAGAUCAGAAUACUCAUCAGCUCAAAAACCAAGAGGAAAUCUUGAGGAUCCUUAACUAUGGUCUUCUACUUCUCCAUCGAAUUUCCCAUAUCUUAGCAUUAUGUUAUAGGAGCAACAGAAUAAUCUCCAUGUGUGCAAGAAUGCUACUCAAGGAUGCAAGAACCUGGAUGCCAAAUCCAUCCUCUCUGGGUGAAGUGGGAAUGUGUGAGGACGACAGGUCUAAGUCCAAAUUAAAUAAAAAGACACACUCACAGAAAAG
rnacentral:lncRNA from 1 species